rnacentral:rRNA from 1 species
GAUGAACGCUGGCGGCGUGCCUAAUACAUGCAAGUCGAACGAGUUCUCGUUGAUGAUCGGUGCUUGCACCGAGAUUCAACAUGGAACGAGUGGCGGACGGGUGAGUAACACGUGGGUAACCUGCCCUUAAGUGGGGGAUAACAUUUGGAAACAGAUGCUAAUACCGCAUAGAUCCAAGAACCGCAUGGUUCUUGGCUGAAAGAUGGCGUAAGCUAUCGCUUUUGGAUGGACCCGCGGCGUAUUAGCUAGUUGGUGAGGUAAUGGCUCACCAAGGCGAUGAUACGUAGCCGAACUGAGAGGUUGAUCGGCCACAUUGGGACUGAGACACGGCCCAAACUCCUACGGGAGGCAGCAGUAGGGAAUCUUCCACAAUGGACGCAAGUCUGAUGGAGCAACGCCGCGUGAGUGAAGAAGGCUUUCGGGUCGUAAAACUCUGUUGUUGGAGAAGAAUGGUCGGCAGAGUAACUGUUGUCGGCGUGACGGUAUCCAACCAGAAAGCCACGGCUAACUACGUGCCAGCAGCCGCGGUAAUACGUAGGUGGCAAGCGUUAUCCGGAUUUAUUGGGCGUAAAGCGUGCGCAGGCGGUUUUUUAAGUCUGAUGUGAAAGCCCUCGGCUUAACCGAGGAAGCGCAUCGGAAACUGGGAAACUUGAGUGCAGAAGAGGACAGUGGAACUCCAUGUGUAGCGGUGAAAUGCGUAGAUAUAUGGAAGAACACCAGUGGCGAAAGGCGGCUGUCUGGUCUGUAACUGACGCUGAGGCUCGAAAGCAUGGGUAGCGAACAGGAUUAGAUACCCUGGUAGUCCAUGCCGUAAACGAUGAAUGCUAGGUGUUGGAGGGUUUCCGCCCUUCAGUGCCGCAGCUAACGCAUUAAGCAUUCCGCCUGGGGAGUACGACCGCAAGGUUGAAACUCAAAGGAAUUGACGGGGGCCCGCACAAGCGGUGGAGCAUGUGGUUUAAUUCGAAGCAACGCGAAGAACCUUACCAGGUCUUGACAUCUUUUGAUCACCUGAGAGAUCAGGUUUCCCCUUCGGGGGCAAAAUGACAGGUGGUGCAUGGUUGUCGUCAGCUCGUGUCGUGGGAUGUUGGGUUAAGUCCCGCAACGAGCGCAACCCUUAUGACUAGUUGCCAGCAUUUAGUUGGGCACUCUAGUAAGACUGCCGGUGACAAACCGGAGGAAGGUGGGGAUGACGUCAAAUCAUCAUGCCCCUUAUGACCUGGGCUACACACGUGCUACAAUGGAUGGUACAACGAGUUGCGAGACCGCGAGGUCAAGCUAAUCUCUUAAAGCCAUUCUCAGUUCGGACUGUAGGCUGCAACUCGCCUACACGAAGUCGGAAUCGCUAGUAAUCGCGGAUCAGCACGCCGCGGUGAAUACGUUCCCGGGCCUUGUACACACCGCCCGUCACACCAUGAGAGUUUGUAACACCCGAAGCCGGUGGCGUAACCCUUUUAGGGAGCGAGCCGUCUAAGGUGGGACAAAUGAUUAGGGUG